rnacentral:rRNA from 1 species
AUUGAACGCUGGCGGCAUGCCUUACACAUGCAAGUCGAACGGUAACGCGGGGCAACCUGGCGACGAGUGGCGAACGGGUGAGUAAUGCAUCGGAACGUGCCCAGAAGUGGGGGAUAGCCCGGCGAAAGCCGGAUUAAUACCGCAUGAGACCUGAGGGUGAAAGCGGGGGAUCGCAAGACCUCGCGCUUUUGGAGCGGCCGAUGUCAGAUUAGCUAGUUGGUGGGGUAAAGGCCUACCAAGGCGACGAUCUGUAGCUGGUCUGAGAGGACGACCAGCCACACUGGGACUGAGACACGGCCCAGACUCCUACGGGAGGCAGCAGUGGGGAAUUUUGGACAAUGGGCGCAAGCCUGAUCCAGCCAUGCCGCGUGCGGGAAGAAGGCCUUCGGGUUGUAAACCGCUUUUGUCAGGGAAGAAACGCUCUGGGCUAAUACCCUGGGGUAAUGACGGUACCUGAAGAAUAAGCACCGGCUAACUAC